rnacentral:rRNA from 1 species
GAUGAACGCUGGCGGCGUGCCUAAUACAUGCAAGUCGAGCGAACAGACGAGGAGCUUGCUCCUCUGACGUUAGCGGCGGACGGGUGAGUAACACGUGGAUAACCUACCUAUAAGACUGGGAUAACUUCGGGAAACCGCAGCUAAUACCGGAUAAUAUAUUGAACCGCAUGGUUCAAUAGUGAAAGGCGGUUUUGCUGUCACUUAUAGAUGGAUCCGCCCCGCAUUAGCUAGUUGGUAAGGUAACGGCUUACCAAGGCAACGAUGCGUAGCCGACCUGAGAGGGUGAUCGGCCACACUGGAACUGAGACACGGUCCAGACUCCUACGGGAGGCAGCGGUAGGGAAUCUUCCGCAAUGGGCGAAAGCCUGACGGAGCAACGCCGCGUGAGUGAUGAAGGUCUUCGGAUCGUAAAACUCUGUUAUUAGGGAAGAACAAAUGUGUAAGUAACUAUGCACGUCUUGACGGUACCUAAUCAGAAAGCCACGGCUAACUACGUGCCAGCAGCCGCGGUAA